AACGUAGGAGACAAACGUUAUCCGGAGUUACUGGGCGUAAAGGGCGUGCAGGCGGUCGACUAAGUCUGGCGUGAAAGCUCUCGGCUAAACCGGGAGAGGUCGUUGGAUACCUGGUUGACUAGAGGACGGUAGAGGCGUGUGGAAUUCCGGGUGUAGUGGUGAAAUGCGUAGAGAUCCGGAGGAACACCAGUGGCGAAGGCGGCCUUCUGGACCAAUACUGACGCUCAUGCACGAAAGCGUGGGGAUCAAACAGG
rnacentral:rRNA from 1 species